rnacentral:lncRNA from 1 species
UUUGUAGAAAUCAACUUUGAGAUUUGAUUUUAAAUAUGCUCAAAACCAUCUUUAUGUGUGUUUGUUUAUAUGUAUGCAUGUAUGCAUAAAUCAACUUUGAGAUUUGAUUUCUCGCCGACUAUGCUUCUCUAGAGAGGAGAGGCUAUCUACUCCUCUUGAUUUCAAAAUCAAUAAUGGGAUAUCUAAGUCAAGGAUCCACACUAUGGAUCAUGAUUUGUUCCACCAAAAAAUGCCUAAAAACCAAAAAUCACAUAUUUGAAAGCUUGUAACCUAUGUGUAGGUGCAAAAAUGAAUGGUUAAUGUCAUGCCGCAAAUUCGAGACAUAACACAGCCAUGCUAUCAAAGGAUGCAGCUCUUGAUAACACGAAGCCAAUCAAUCAUAAUCAGCUAAAAUCCAUCAAAAAUAAGUUAUAACAAAAAUUUUAAUUCCAUUAUUCAUCAAGUAAAUAAACCAAUAUUGGAUCAAAGUAACUAAAUCCAAAAGAUAAUACUAAACCCAUAUAUCAAAAUUCAUCAGUAGUUGAUUACAAGCCCAUAAUAAUCCUAUAAAUUCAACAAUUUUAAUUACAAAUCUCCAUGCUUACUGGUGUAGACCCUCCAGCAUAGAUCAUCAUUGUUUCCUAACCUUAUUUAUCUGGACAGAAAAAAAAAAGAAAAAGAUAUGAGCUACACCAGCUCAGUAAGUAAACCUUACACUAUCUUAUCCAAAUUAAGCAUAAGCAUGCAUCAAAAAAAUCUUUUAGAGAAGAUGAUUAUCAUUGAAACAUAAAAUUUUCAUGAUAACAAUAUAUCAUAAAUCAAUAAUGCUCUUGCAUAUGCAUAAAUCAUGUAAUUUACAUAAACAUAGUUUCCAAUGCAUAACAUAAACAAAGUCAUAAAUUAUGUCAACUUCGUAUAUAAAGUCAUAAAUCAUUUAUCAUUCUUUUCAUAUCAUGAUUCUUAAUAAUUCUUUCAGACUAAAUGCUAAGAUCACUAUUAUACCCGUGACAGGGCCAUAAUCAUGUAUCAACUAUUAUUACCCAUUGGCAGGGUCGUAUACCAACUACUAUUACUCAUUGACAGAGUCGUAUGCCAAUUACUAUUACCCACUGGCAGGGUCAUAUGCCAAUAACUAUUACCCAUUGGUAGGGUGAUACAUAGCUAUCUAUGAGUCUUUUUCCAUAUUUCUUAAGAUAGGCAUUCUUAAAACAUAUUUCAUCAAAUCACAUUUUUUUAAAUCAUGCACAAAUAAGAUACUAGAUAAUUUUAUAAAAUUCAUAAUCCAUAAAUAAUCUUUAACAGUAAAACAAUCAUGAAAUCAUUCCAUUUAUAAUCAGGCAUACAUUUCAUAAAUAUGGAGUUCAUAUUUCAUAAGAAAAAAAUCAUUCAUAUUAACAUAUUCAUAAAUCACUUAUUUUACUAUGAAUCAUGAAUUUCAUAAUGCAUAUACUUGAUCCUUAUUUUAUGAAAAUAUAGAAUAAUUUUUUUCAUGAUAAAAUAAUCAAUAAUUUCAAAAGUAAGUAAGAAGUGUCGGGAUUACUUACCUUUUUCGUCCUAAUCCUUCAAACUUUGAUAGAUAAAUUUAUCAAACCUAUUUAAUAUAUUAAAAAUAUCAUUAAUUUUUAUUUAUUAAUUCAAUAAUAAAAAAAGAAGACUAUAGAUCCGGUGACCUGUUCAACUGGCAGUCCGGAUGUUGGGAUAAUUCAGGAUCUUCCUAACCAAGGGUUAGAUGUAAGUACUGGAUAAAAAAAUCAUGAAGUAUGAAGUGGAAUCAAGGCCAAGAUCAAUCAAUAGAUUCAUCAAUAGUAGGUUUCAAGGGUAUUUGACAUGAUCGGGGUGAGGUUCGACAUCUUGCACGGAUAUUAAAGCAGUUUCAAACUGCUUUGGGUACAUCAUCUCAAGUUCAUACGAAGAUCCAUGAAUUAAAUAGAGAGAGAAUAGAGGAAGAAAAGUCCUAGAGAGAGAAAACAAGAGAGGAGAGAGAAAAUCUCUUUUUUUUCUCUUUUUAUUUUCCUUUUCUUUUCUUCUUCUUUUUCCUUUCCUUUUCUUUCUUCUUUCUUUUCCUGGCCGAACAGAGGAGGGACACGAUGGGAGGGGGCUUGGUGGCUCGUACUUCGACGAGGUACGAUGGCACGAUCGGAGGUCUGGCAGUGGCAAUCGAUGGUGGUGGAGCCAGAGAUGGCCGGCGGUUAGGUUCAACCGAUGGGAAAUUAGAAAAAAAUGAAAAAUAGGGGACCGCCCCCUUUUCAUGAAUUUCUUCGAUCGUAGUCGAUCACCGACGGCCAUGACCUUCGAAGAAGGAAGGUAGAAAGGUGGGGAUCAUGGCUUAUGGGUGCGGCACCAUGGGCGGCGGUGCUGGUGGCCGAAAAAGGGAGAGAGAAGGCUCGGCCGAACAGAGCAAAACAGGGUCAUGAUGUUUUGAGGAUUUUCUGACGAUUCCGACAGCCGAUGAGGAUGCACGAAGCCAUGGAAAGGAGGGGAAAGAAGAGAGAAAGGAGGAUCGGGGCUUAUCUUCAACUCCGGUGAGGUCUCUGGAGAGAAUUUGAGACGAUGAGGACAUCCGUGGCUUUAAUGAAAAAAAUUCGAAAGAACGAAGAGGGAGGAAGGCCGAUAAUCGUCGUUGGUUGCUUAGGAGGGGGAGAGGGUGUUUUAUAAGGUGGAGAGGAGGCCAAAUUCUUCCCAGAUUCGACUUCUCCUCUCCGGUGGGAUUCUUCAUCUUUUUUUUUUUAUGGGCCUGAUGGGCUAAAAAUUGGGUGGGCUCUACUUUAGAACAGGAUAUUACAUUCUACCCCCCAAAAAAAGUUUCGUCUUCGAAAUUUGACAUACCUUCAUUUUUAAAUAAAUAAGGAUACUUUAUCUUCAUAUUAUCCUUAUCAUACUUUAGAUCAGUUUUCGUCAACCCUAGUUUUCUUAUGAUGCAAUUCUUAAAUGAAGCAUCAGUGAGAAUAACUUUUUUUAAGUGCAGAGAUCACAUAUAGUAAUUUAUUCAAUUCUUUGAAUAUAUAGUUAAACUUGAAAGACACAAAAGAAUAACAAAAUUAUAAUCAAACAACACAUGGGCAUCUAUGGAUUGACUAGAAUCGUACCUAUAAUGACUUGAUCACCAGUAUUGGCAUCUUGUUCAGUCAAAGCAAACACUCGUGCAUUCUCUUUUCGGUUCUAAUCAAUGAGUUUGGUGGACUUAAAGUCAUUCUUUUUAUUAAGACAAUCUCGUGCCAAAUGUCUCUUCUUGCCACACUCAAAGCACAUUUCGAGUUUCUUAUAACAAAUCUCGACUCCUUUCUUCUUAUUAGAGUGGUUCUUUAAGUUGUCAUAUUGGUCAUUCUGACUCCCAGUUGGUCUAGAUCUUUUUCUAUUUUUUCUUUCUUGCUCCAAUCUUUUAAUAUCUAAUUCAACUUUCAAAGCUCGUUCUAGUACAUCCUUAUAGCCAUUAAAAAGAUGGGAGGACAAACGAGAGCGAAUUUUAUAUCCUAAACUAUGCUCAAAUCUAUUUGCUUUGCUUUUUUCAGACUCUAUAAGUUGGGGCCAAAAUCGACCUAACUUAUUGAAUUUGUUUGCAUACUCCAAUACUGUCAUAUCAUCUUUUUGCCUCAAAUCCAAGAACACAUUUUCUUUCAUUAAUCUCACUGACUCAGGAAAAUACUGAUCAUAAAAUCUCUUUUUAAACUCCUCCCAUAUCAAUUGAUUUUCAUUAUUUUCAUAUGCAGUCCUUAUUGCGGUCCACCAAAACUCGACAGUUUUUUUUAGCAUAGGAAUUGCUAACCUAACCUUCACAUCCUCAGGAUACUGUAGUGCAUCAAAUAUCUUUUCCAUUUCUUGAAUCCAUGUCUGCAACCAGAGGGUCAGGUCCACCCUCAAACAGCGGUGGAUUAAGCCUUUUAAAUCUCUCGUAAUAUGACUCUAAAGAUGGUGCAGGUUGAGAAAUAACUUGUGUCUGCCGUUGUUGAAUAAGCUUUGCCACUACUUGGCAUACCCCAGUAAUGUCUGCCUGAGUGGCCGGUGCAUUAGAGGCCUGCUCAACCGAUUGACUGGUAUUUUUUCUUGUAGUCCUUCUUGCUCCUCUCUUUCUAUUGGCAGGAUUUGUCGAGACUUCAUUCUCUCUGUUACUCAUUAUCACCUAGAUAAAAAAAUACUAGCAUUAAUUAACUUCCUUAAAUGAGCAACAAGAACUUUAUGAAAAAUUUAUCUAUUCUUAUUCAAUUAAAUAUGAUCUAGCGAAACGUGACCUAUCUACUCAUUACUAGACAUUAAGUCUACCAAUGAUCAAGCAUAUUGCUCUGAUAUCAUUAAAUGUCACGCUCAAAAUCCGGAACAUAAUACGGCUAUGCUAUCAAGAGAUGCAGCCCUCGAUAAUACGAAGCCAAUCAAUCAUAAUCAGCUAAGAUCCAUCAAAAAUAAGUUAUAACAAAAUUUCAAUUCCAUUAUUCAUCAAGUAAAUAAAUCAAUAUUGGGUCAGAGCGACUCAAUCCAAAAGAUAAUACUAAAUCCAUAUAUCAAAAUUCAUCAGUAGUUGAUUACAAGCCCAUAAUAAUCUUAUAAUUUCAAUAAUUUCAACUGCAAACCUCCAUGUUUACUGGUGUAGACCCUCCAGCCUAGAUCAUCCUUGUUUCCUAACCUUAUUUAUCUAGACAGAAAAAGAAAAAGAAAAAGAUAUGAGCUAUACCAGCUCAGUAAGUAAACCUUACACUAUCUUAUCUAGAUCAAGCAUAAGCAUGUAUCAAUAAAUCAUUUAGAGAAGAUGAUUAUCAUUGAAACAUAAACUUUUCGUAAUAACAAUAUAUCAUAAAUCAAUAAUGCUCUUGCAUAUGCAUAAAUCAUGUAAUUUACAUAAACAUAGUUUCCAAUGCAUAACAUAAACAAAGUCAUAAAUUACGUCAACUUCGUAUAUAAAGUCAUAAAUCAUUUGUCAUUCUUUUCAUAUCAUGAUUCUUAAUAAUUCUCUCAGACUAAAUGCUAAGAUCACUAUUAUACCUGUGACAGGGCCA